GCGCGAAAACUUUACAAUGCACGCAAGUGUGAUAAGGGGAUCCCAAGUGCCUAUUGGAUUUUUCUGGUAGGCUUUUGCCAAGUGUAAGUAGCUUGGCGAAUAAGUGGUGGGUAAGACCGGUGCCAGCCGCCGCGGUAACCCCGGCGCCACAAGUGGCAAUCACGAUUAUUGGGUCUAAAGCGUCCGUAGCAGGCUAAUUAAGUCUUUUGUGAAAUUGUUGUGCUUAACAUAACAACGGGCAAGAGAUACUGACUAGCUAGGGACCGGGAGGAGUUAGAAGUACUCUGGGGGGAGCGGUAAAAUGUGAUAAUCCUCGGGGGACUGCCAGUGGCGAAGGCGUCUAACUAGAACGGGUCCGACUGUGAGGGACGAAAGCUAGGGGAUCAAACCGG
rnacentral:rRNA from 1 species